rnacentral:rRNA from 1 species
UGAGGAAUAUUGGUCAAUGGGCGGGAGCCUGAACCAGCCAAGCCGCGUGAGGGAAGAAGGCCCUAUGGGUCGUAAACCUCUUUUGUCAGGGAACAAAAGCGAGUAUGUAUACUGGUCUGAGUGUACCUGAAGAAAAAGCAUCGGCUAACUCCGUGCCAGCAGCCGCGGUAAUACGGAGGAUGCGAGCGUUAUCCGGAUUUAUUGGGUUUAAAGGGUGCGUAGGCGGCGGUGCAAGUCAGCGGUAAAAGCCCGGGGGCUCAACCCCGGCGAGCCGUUGAAACUGCAGUGCUAGAGAAGGCGAGAGGUACGCGGAAUGCGCAGUGUAGCGGUGAAAUGCUUAGAUAUUGCGCAGAACUCCGAUUGCGAAGGCAGCGUACUGGCGCCUGACUGACGCUGAGGCACGAAAGCGUGGGGAUCGAACAGGAUUAGAUACCC